rnacentral:rRNA from 1 species
ACGCUGGCGGCGUGCCUAAUACAUGCAAGUAGAACGCUGAAGAGAGGAGCUUGCUCUUCUUGGAUGAGUUGCGAACGGGUGAGUAACGCGUAGGUAACCUGCCUUGUAGCGGGGGAUAACUAUUGGAAACGAUAGCUAAUACCGCAUAACAAUAGGUGACACAUGUCAUUUAUUUGAAAGGGGCAAUUGCUCCACUACAAGAUGGACCUGCGUUGUAUUAGCUAGUAGGUGAGGUAACGGCUCACCUAGGCGACGAUACAUAGCCGACCUGAGAGGGUGAUCGGCCACACUGGGACUGAGACACGGCCCAGACUCCUACGGGAGGCAGCAGUAGGGAAUCUUCGGCAAUGGGGGCAACCCUGACCGAGCAACGCCGCGUGAGUGAAGAAGGUUUUCGGAUCGUAAAGCUCUGUUGUAAGUCAAGAACGAGUGUGAGAGUGGAAAGUUCACACUGUGACGGUAGCUUACCAGAAAGGGACGGCUAACUACGUGCCAGCAGCCGCGGUAAUACGUAGGUCCCGAGCGUUGUCCGGAUUUAUUGGGCGUAAAGCGAGCGCAGGCGGUUUGAUAAGUCUGAAGUUAAAGGCUGUGGCUCAACCAUAGUUCGCUUUGGAAACUGUCAAACUUGAGUGCAGAAGGGGAGAGUGGAAUUCCAUGUGUAGCGGUGAAAUGCGUAGAUAUAUGGAGGAACACCGGUGGCGAAAGCGGCUCUCUGGUCUGUAACUGACGCUGAGGCUCGAAAGCGUGGGGAGCGAACAGGAUUAGAUACCCUGGUAGUCCACGCCGUAAACGAUGAGUGCUAGGUGUUGGAUCCUUUCCGGGAUUCAGUGCCGCAGCUAACGCAUUAAGCACUCCGCCUGGGGAGUACGACCGCAAGGUUGAAACUCAAAGGAAUUGACGGGGGCCCGCA